rnacentral:rRNA from 1 species
GAUGAACGCUGGCGGCGUGCCUAAUACAUGCAAGUCGAGCGAACAGACGAGGAGCUUGCUCCUCUGACGUUAGCGGCGGACGGGUGAGUAACACGUGGAUAACCGACCUAUAAGACUGGGAUAACUUCGGGAAACCGGAGCUAAUACCGGAUAAUAUGUUGAACCGCAUGGUUCAAUAGUGAAAGACGGUUUUGCUGUCACUUAUAGAUGGAUCCGCGCCGCAUUAGCUAGUUGGUAAGGUAACGGCUUACCAAGGCAACGAUGCGUAGCCGACCUGAGAGGGUGAUCGGCCACACUGGAACUGAGACACGGUCCAGACUCCUACGGGAGGCAGCAGUAGGGAAUCUUCCGCAAUGGGCGAAAGCCUGACGGAGCAACGCCGCGUGAGUGAUGAAGGUCUUCGGAUCGUAAAACUCUGUUAUUAGGGAAGAACAAAUGUGUAAGUAACUAUGCACGUCUUGACGGUACCUAAUCAGAAAGCCACGGCUAACUACGUG